CCUCCUUCGGGAGNNCAUUAUAUGGCGAACGGGUGAGUAACACGUGGGCAAUCUGCCCUUCACUCUGGGACAAGCCCUGGAAACGGGGUCUAAUACCGGAUACGACCUCCGACCGCAUGGUCUGGUGGUGGAAAGCUCCGGCGGUGAAGGAUGAGCCCGCGGCCUAUCAGCUUGUUGGUGGGGUGAUGGCCUACCAAGGCGACGACGGGUAGCCGGCCUGAGAGGGCGACCGGCCACACUGGGACUGAGACACGGCCCAGACUCCUACGGGAGGCAGCAGUGGGGAAUAUUGCACAAUGGGCGAAAGCCUGAUGCAGCGACGCCGCGUGAGGGAUGACGGCCUUCGGGUUGUAAACCUCUUUCAGCAGGGAAGAAGCGAGAGUGACGGUACCUGCAGAAGAAGCGCCGGCUAACUACGUGCCAGCAGCCGCGGUAAUACGUAGGGCGCAAGCGUUGUCCGGAAUUAUUGGGCGUAAAGAGCUCGUAGGCGGCUUGUCACGUCGGAUGUGAAAGCCCGGGGCUUAACCCCGGGUCUGCAUUCGAUACGGGCNGGCUAGANUUCGGUAGGGGAUAUCGGAAUUCCUGGUGUAGCGGUGAAAUGCNCAGAUAUCANGANGAANCCGGUGGCGAAGGCGGAUCUCUGGGCCGAUACUGACNCUGAGNANCNAAAGCGUGGGGAG
rnacentral:rRNA from 1 species